rnacentral:rRNA from 1 species
GAUGAACGCUGGCGGCGUGCCUAAUACAUGCAAGUCGAGCGAACAGACGAGGAGCUUGCUCCUCUGACGUUAGCGGCGGACGGGUGAGUAACACGCGGAUAACCUACCUAUAAGACUGGGAUAACUUCGGGAAACCGGAGCUAAUACCAGAUAACAUGUUGAACCGCAUGGUUCAACAGUGAAAGACGGUCUUGCUGUCACUUCUAGAUGGAUCCGCGCCGCAUUAGCUAGUUGGUAAGGUAACGGCUUACCAAGGCAACGAUGCGUAGCCGACCUGAGAGGGUGAUCGGCCACACUGGAACUGAGACACGGUCCAGACUCCUACGGGAGGCAGCAGUAGGGAAUCUUCCGCAAUGGGCGAAAGCCUGACGGAGCAACGCCGCGUGAGUGAUGAAGGUCUUCGGAUCGUAAAACUCUGUUAUUAGGGAAGAACAAAUGUGUAAGUAACUAUGCACGUCUUGACGGUACCUAAUCAGAAAGCCACGGCUAACUACGUGCCAGCCGCCGCAGUAA